AACGGGUGAGUAACACGUGAGUAACCUGCCCUUAACUCUGGGAUAAGCCUGGGAAACUGGGUCUAAUACCGGAUAUGACUCCUCAUCGCAUGGUGGGGGGUGGAAAGCUUUAUUGUGGUUUUGGAUGGACUCGCGGCCUAUCAGCUUGUUGGUGAGGUAAUGGCUUACCAAGGCGACGACGGGU
rnacentral:rRNA from 1 species